rnacentral:tRNA from 1 species
UCCCUGGCAGUCCAGUGGUAAGAUUCUUCGCUCCCAAUGCAGGGGGCCCAGGUUCAAUCCCCGGUCAGGGAA